rnacentral:rRNA from 1 species
AAACUCGGGCUAAUACCGCAUACGCUCUUAGGAGGAAAGCGGGGGAUCUUCGGACCUCGCGCUAUUAGAGGAGCCUGCGUCGGAUUAGCUAGUUGGUGAGGUAAAGGCUCACCAAGGCGACGAUCCGUAGCUGGUCUGAGAGGACGACCAGCCACACUGGAACUGAGACACGGUCCAGACUCCUACGGGAGGCAGCAGUGGGGAAUCUUGGGCAAUGGGCGCAAGCCUGACCCAGCCAUGCCGCGUGUGUGAAGAAGGCCUUCGGGUUGUAAAGCACUUUCAGUGGUGAAGAAAAUCUCAGGUCUAAUACACCUGAGCCUUGACGUUAACCACAGAAGAAGCACCGGCUAACUCCGUG